rnacentral:rRNA from 1 species
GUAGGUGGCAAGCGUUGUCCGGAAUUAUUGGGCGUAAAGCGCGCGCAGGCGGUUCUUUAAGUCUGAUGUGAAAGCCCACGGCUCAACCGUGGAGGGUCAUUGGAAACUGGAGAACUUGAGUACAGAAGAGGAAAGCGGAAUUCCACGUGUAGCGGUGAAAUGCGUAGAGAUGUGGAGGAACACCAGUGGCGAAGGCGGCUUUUCUGGUCUGUAACUGACGCUGAGGCGCGAGAGCGUGGGGAGCAAACAGGAUUAGAUACCCUGGUAGUCCACGCCGUAAACGAUGAGUGCUAAGUGUUAGGGGGUUUCCGCCCCCCUUAGUGCUGCAGCUAACGCAUUAAGCACUCCGCCUGGGAGUACGGCCGCAAGGCUG